rnacentral:rRNA from 1 species
UACGUAGGGACCAAGCGUUGUUCGGAUUUACUGGGCGUAAAGGGCGCGUAGGCGGCCUUCUAAGUCGAACGUGAAAUCCCCGGGCUCAACCCGGGAACUGCGUCCGAUACUGGAAGGCUUGAAUCCGGGAGAGGGAUGCGGAAUUCCAGGUGUAGCGGUGAAAUGCGUAGAUAUCUGGAGGAACACCGGUGGCGAAGGCGGCAUCCUGGACCGGCAUUGACGCUGACGGCGCGAAAGCCAGGGGAGCAAAGCGGG